rnacentral:rRNA from 1 species
CCUACGGGGGGCAGCAGUGAGGAAUAUUGGUCAAUGGCCGGAAGGCUGAACCAGCCAAGCCGCGUGAAGGACGAAGGUGCCAAGCAUUGUAAACUUCUUUUGUCAAGGGACAAAAUCAGGCUCGAGAGCCUGACCGAGGGUACUUGAAGAAAAAGCAUCGGCUAACUCCGUGCCAGCAGCCGCGGUAAUACGGAGGAUGCGAGCGUUAUCCGGAUUUAUUGGGUUUAAAGGGUGCGUAGGCGGGCUGUUAAGGCAGCGGUAAAAUCCCGGGGCUCAACCCCGGCGAGCCGUUGAAAAUGGCUGUCUUGAGAUGGCGAGAGGUAGGCGGAAUGCGCAGUGUAGCGGUGAAAUGCUUAGAUAUUGCGCAGAACUCCGAUUGCGAAGGCAGCAUACCGGCGGCGAUCUGACGCUGAGGCACGAAAGCGUGGGUAUCGAACAGGAUUAGAUACCCCGGUAGUC